UACGUAGGGGGCAAGCGUUGUCCGGAAUCAUUGGGCGUAAAGAGCGUGUAGGCGGCUCGGUAAGUCCGCUGUGAAAGUCCAGGGCUCAACCCUGGAAUGCCGGUGGAAACUGUCGAGCUAGAAUCCGGAAGACGGCGAGUGGAAUUCCUGGUGUAGCGGUGAAAUGCGCAGAUAUCAGGAGGAACACCAAGUGGCGAAGGCAGCUCGCUGGGACGGUAUUGACGCUGAGACGCGAAAGCGUGGGGAGCAAACAGG
rnacentral:rRNA from 1 species